AUUGAACGCUGGCGGCAUGCCUUACACAUGCAAGUCGAACGGCAGCACGGGGGCAACCCUGGUGGCGAGUGGCGAACGGGUGAGUAAUGCAUCGGAACGUGCCCAGUAGUGGGGGAUAACCCGGCGAAAGCCGGGCUAAUACCGCAUACGACCUGCGGGUGAAAGCGGGGGACCGUAAGGCCUCGCGCCAUUGGAGCGGCCGAUGUCUGAUUAGCUAGUUGGCGGGGUAAAGGCCCACCAAGGCGACGAUCAGUAGCUGGUCUGAGAGGACGACCAGCCACACUGGGACUGAGACACGGCCCAGACUCCUACGGGAGGCAGCAGUGGGGAAUUUUGGACAAUGGGCGCAAGCCUGAUCCAGCCAUGCCGCGUGCGGGAAGAAGGCCUUCGGGUUGUAAACCGCUUUUGGCAGGAACGAAACGGCGCAAGCUAAUACCUUGCGCUAAUGACGGUACCUGCAGAAUAAGCACCGGCUAACUACGUGCCAGCCGCCGCCGUAACAC
rnacentral:rRNA from 1 species